rnacentral:rRNA from 2 species
AAACUUUCAACAACGGAUCUCUUGGUUCUGGCAUCGAUGAAGAACGUAGCGAAAUGCGAUAAGUAAUGUGAAUUGCAGAAUUCAGUGAAUCAUCGAAUCUUUGAACGCACAUUGCGCCCGCCAGCAUUCUGGCGGGCAUGCCUGUCCGAGCGUCAUUU